AUUGAACGCUGGCGGCAUGCCUUACACAUGCAAGUCGAACGGCAGCACGGGUGCUUGCACCUGGUGGCGAGUGGCGAACGGGUGAGUAAUACAUCGGAACGUACCUUAUCGCGGGGGAUAACGCAGCGAAAGCUGUGCUAAUACCGCAUACGCCCUGAGGGGGAAAGCGGGGGAUCGCAAGACCUCGCGCGAUUAGAGCGGCCGAUGCCUGAUUAGCUUGUUGGUGGGGUAAAAGCCCACCAAGGCGACGAUCAGUAGCUGGUCUGAGAGGACGAACAGCCACACGGGGACUGAGACACGGCCCAGACUCCUACGGGAGGCAGCAGUGGGGAAUUUUGGACAAUGGGGGCAACCCUGAUCCAGCAAUGCCGCGUGAGUGAAGAAGGCCUUCGGGUUGUAAAGCUCUUUUGUCAGGGAAGAAACACCGGCUCUAACACAGUCCGGGAAUGACGGUACCUGAAGAAUAAGCACCGGCUAACUACGUGCCAGCCGCCGCGGUAA
rnacentral:rRNA from 1 species